UACAGAGGUGGCAAGCGUUGUUCGGAAUUACUGGGCGUAAAGGGCGCGUAGGCGGUUCGAUAAGUCCCGUGUGAAAUCCCUCGGCUCAACUGAGGAACUGCACGGGAAACUGACGGGCUUGAGUUCGGGAGAGGGAUGCGGAAUUCCAGGUGUAGCGGUGAAAUGCGUAGAUAUCAGGAAGAACACCCGUGGCGAAGGCGGCUCUCUGGGACGGUACUGACGCUGAGACGCGAAAGCGUGGGGAGCGAACAGG
rnacentral:rRNA from 1 species